GUUUGACUGAUGGUACUACUACACCCUCUGAUACUACUAAGAGUUCUGCUGUUGAUAUGAUGGUAGCUGACUCUGGUGAUUCAGCAACAGUUAAAACCCCCACAGCAUUCUCAGGCUCAACUACUACCUUUACUCAGCCCUCAGAGCGUCACACUUUUAGU